UCCAAGCGGUGCACGGCUCUGUUGGAGGUC
rnacentral:piRNA from 1 species